rnacentral:lncRNA from 1 species
UUUCGUUCGUUUUGAGUUCAGGGUGUUGCUUUGAAGUUUUGUUCUUUGUUGAUCUCGAUAUGAUCAUAUAUGAUAUGUGCGCGUCUAAGCCAUUUUUCUUCGUUUUAAUUUUCCGAAAAUUAGUAAUAUUGGUUUCGUUUUUUGAGAUGAUUUAAGGCUCAUUUCGAAGUAGUAUUACCGCUCCUCGACUUGCGGCUUUUAUACUCACUUCGGAUCUUGGUUUAUUGGUUUGUGGAUAGCACUGAUGCAGCCUUGUAUUUAUUUGUUAAAGUAAUUUCCAUUGUUUUGUCAUAUGUUCCGAAG